GAGUUUGAUCAUGGCUCAGAUUGAACGCUGGCGGCAGGCCUAACACAUGCAAGUCGAGCGGCAGCACGGGGAGCUUGCUCCCUGGUGGCGAGCGGCGGACGGGUGAGUAAUGCAUGGGAAUCUGCCCGGUAGUGGGGGAUAACCCGGGGAAACCCGGGCUAAUACCGCAUACGUCCUACGGGAGAAAGCAGGGGAUCUUCGGACCUUGCGCUAUCGGAUGAGCCCAUGUCGGAUUAGCUUGCUGGUGAGGUAACGGCUCACCAGGGCGACGAUCCGUAGCUGGUCUGAGAGGAUGAUCAGCCACACCGGGACUGAGACACGGCCCGGACUCCUACGGGAGGCAGCAGUGGGGAAUAUUGGACAAUGGGGGAAACCCUGAUCCAGCCAUGCCGCGUGUGUGAAGAAGGCUUUCGGGUUGUAAAGCACUUUCAGCGGGGAAGAAGGCAUGGCGGCUAAUACCCGCCAUGAAGGACAUCACCCGCAGAAGAAGCACCGGCUAACUCCGUGCCAGCAGCCGCGGUAAUACGGAGGGUGCAAGCGUUAAUCGGAAUUACUGGGCGUAAAGGGCGCGUAGGCGGCCUGCCAAGCCGGAUGUGAAAGCCCCGGGCUCAACCCGGGAACGGCAUUCGGAACUGGCAGGCUAGAGUGCAGGAGAGGAAGGUGGAAUUCCCGGUGUAGCGGUGAAAUGCGUAGAGAUCGGGAGGAAUACCAGUGGCGAAGGCGGCCUUCUGGACUGACACUGACGCUGAGGCGCGAAAGCGUGGGUAGCAAACAGGAUUAGAUACCCUGGUAGUCCACGCCGUAAACGAUGUCGACCAGCCGUUGGACCCCCUGAGGGUCUGGUGGCGCAGUUAACGCAAUAAGUCGACCGCCUGGGGAGUACGGCCGCAAGGCUAAAACUCAAAUGAAUUGACGGGG
rnacentral:rRNA from 1 species